rnacentral:rRNA from 1 species
AUUGAACGCUGGCGGCAGGCCUAACACAUGCAAGUCGAACGAGUGGCGGACGGGUGAGUAAUGUCUGGGAAACUGCCCGAUGGAGGGGGAUCACUACUGGAAACGGUCGCUAAUACCGCAUACCAUCGGAUGAGCCCAGAUGGGAUUAGCUAGUAGGGGGGGGAACGGCUAACAUGGGCGACGAUACCUAGCUGGUCUGAGAGGAUGACCAGCAACACUGGAACGGGGACAGGGUCCAGACUCCUACGGCAGGCAGCAUGGGGGAAUAUUGCACAAUGAGCGCAAGCCUGAUGCAGCCAGGCGGCGUGGAUGAAGAAGGCCUUGGGGUGGGAAAGUACUUUCAGCGGGGAGGCGGUACCGGAAGAAGAAGCACCGGCUAACUCCGUGCCAGCAGCCGCGGUAAUAC